rnacentral:snoRNA from 1 species
AGGCCGUGAUGGGGACACUUGCGUAAUAGCUCCUUGAACCUUUCCCAAGUUUCAUAUAAGGAUUCCCCGUCCUCUUGUGAGUAUGUAUUAAUCUCAGUCAUUAAUUU